rnacentral:sRNA from 1 species
AAAUACAAUGAUGAAAGGACUGAUGGAUGGACAAUGAUUAACUAACCUUUAUUUUUAUUUGAAAUGAAUAACUUCAAACUACAAAAUAUAGGGUUAGUCUAUCCAUUUUUAUAAAUCAGUUAACACUUUAUUUGUCAUGAUUCUAAUGGGCAAAAAAGAACUUAUUUAAUAUAAGUGUAAGACUAAUCCUUCCAGUUACAAAUUGGGAGGAUUUUUUA